rnacentral:tRNA from 1 species
GCUUUCAAAGGAUAAUAGCAAUCCAAUGGUCUUAGGAGCCAUUCAUCUUGGUGCAAAUCCAAGUGAAAGUA